rnacentral:rRNA from 1 species
GUGGGGGAUAUUGCACAAUGAGGGAAACCCUGAUGCAGCGACGCCGCGUGAAGGAAGACGUACUUCGGUAUGUAAACUUCUAUCAGCAGGGAAGAAGAUGACGGUACCUGACUAAGAAGCCCCGGCUAACUACGUGCCAGCAGCCGCGGUAAUACGUAGGGGGCAAGCGUUAUCCGGAUUUACUGGGUGUAAAGGGAGCGUAGACGGUGAAGCAAGUCUGAUGUGACAACCCGGGGCUCAACUCCGGGAUUGCAUUGGAAACUGUUUUACUUGAGUGCUGGAGGGGCAAGCGGAAUUCCUGGUGUAGCGGUGAAAUGCGUAGAUAUCAGGAAGAACACCGGUGGCGAAGGCGGCUUGCUGGACAGUAACUGACGUUGAGGCUCGAAAGCGUGGGGAGCAAACAGGAUUAGAAACCCCGGUAGUCC